GAGGAUGAAGGCCUCUGGGCUGUAAACCUCUUUUCAAGGGAAGAAGAACUGACGGUACUUGAGGAAUAAGCCACGGCUAAUUCCGUGCCAGCAGCCGCGGUAAUACGGGAGUGGCAAGCGUUAUCCGGAAUUAUUGGGCGUAAAGCGUCCGCAGGCGGUCUUGAAAGUCUGUUGUUAAAGCGUGGAGCUCAACUCCAUUUCAGCAAUGGAAACUAGAAGACUAGAGUGUGGUAGGGGCAGAGGGAAUUCCCGGUGUAGCGGUGAAAUGCGUAGAUAUCGGGAAGAACACCAGUGGCGAAGGCGCUCUGCUGGGCCAUAACUGACGCUCAUGGACGAAAGCCAGGGGAGCGAAAGGGAUUAGAUACCCCUGUAGUCCUGGCCGUAAACGAUGAACACUAGGUGUCGGGGGAAUCGACCCCCUCGGUGUCGUAGCCAACGCGUUAAGUGUUCCGCCUGGGGAGUACGCACGCAAGUGUGAAACUCAAAGGAAUUGACGGGGGCCCGCACAAGCGGUGGAGUAUGUGGUUUAAUUCGAUGCAACGCGAAGAACCUUACCAGGGUUUGACAUCCUGCGAAUCUUUUGGAAACAGAAGAGUGCCUUCGGGAGCGCAGAGACAGGUGGUGCAUGGCUGUCGUCAGCUCGUGUCGUGAGAUGUUGGGUUAAGUCCCGCAACGAGCGCAACCCACGUCUUUAGUUGCCAGCAUUGAGUUGGGCACUCUAGAGAGACCGCCGGUGAUAAACCGGAGGAAGGUGUGGAUGACGUCAAGUCAUCAUGCCCCUUACAUCCUGGGCUACACACGUACUACAAUGCUACGGACAGAGGGCAGCAAACUCGCGAGAGCUAGCAAAUCCCAUAAACCGUGGCUCAGUUCAGAUCGUAGGCUGCAACUCGCCUACGUGAAGGAGGAAUCGCUAGUAAUCGCAGGUCAGCAUACUGCGGUGAAUACGUUCCCGGGCCUUGUACACACCGCCCGUCACACCAUGGAAGU
rnacentral:rRNA from 1 species